rnacentral:misc_RNA from 1 species
GCAGAGCCUCACCUUUCAGUAGGAAGGUGUUCGUUGCUGGGACGGGUUCAAACUGGUGAAGGGAGGAGGAAUUCAAUACUCCGAUCUUACUGGGGAUUCAUCACUGGCUAGGGCUUUCGAAUCAAAGCAUGGGCAUCUGCAACUAAGAGGGAGCAGUAGAUCGUCGAUUGACGAGCCGGGUCAGUAAACUUCUAUUGGGACUUCUAUUGAUUAUUGAUUCGACUAGAGGGGCUCCUAGCAGCAAACUUGUAUGAAGGGCCCCCAUGGAGACGCAGGAGAUGCAGGAGCCGCC